rnacentral:rRNA from 1 species
GGCGGACGGGUGAGUAAUGUCUGGGAAACUGCCUGAUGGAGGGGGAUAACUACUGGAAACGGUAGCUAAUACCGCAUAAUGUCGCAAGACCAAAGUGGGGGACCUUCGGGCCUCAUGCCAUCAGAUGUGCCCAGAUGGGAUUAGCUAGUAGGUGGGGUAACGGCUCACCUAGGCGACGAUCCCUAGCUGGUCUGAGAGGAUGACCAGCCACACUGGAACUGAGACACGGUCCAGACUCCUACGGGAGGCAGCAGUGGGGAAUAUUGCACAAUGGGCGCAAGCCUGAUGCAGCCAUGCCGCGUGUGUGAAGAAGGCCUUCGGGUUGUAAAGCACUUUCAGCGGGGAGGAAGGCGUUAAGGUUAAUAACCUUGGCGAUUGACGUUACCCGCAGAAGAAGCACCGGCUAACUCCGUGCCAGCAGCCGCGGUAAUACGGAGGGUGCAAGCGUUAAUCGGAAUUACUGGGCGUAAAGCGCACGCAGGCGGUCUGUCAAGUCGGAUGUGAAAUCCCCGGGCUCAACCUGGGAACUGCAUUCGAAACUGGCAGGCUAGAGUCUUGUAGAGGGGGGUAGAAUUCCAGGUGUAGCGGUGAAAUGCGUAGAGAUCUGGAGGAAUACCGGUGGCGAAGGCGGCCCCCUGGACAAAGACUGACGCUCAGGUGCGAAAGCGUGGGGAGCAAACAGGAUUAGAUACCCUGGUAGUCCACGCCGUAAACGAUGUCGAUUUGGAGGUUGUGCCCUUGAGGCGUGGCUUCCGGAGCUAACGCGUUAAAUCGACCGCCUGGGGAGUACGGCCGCAAGGUUAAAACUCAAAUGAAUUGACGGGGGCCCGCACAAGCGGUGGAGCAUGUGGUUUAAUUCGAUGCAACGCGAAGAACCUUACCUGGUCUUGACAUCCACAGAACUUUCCAGAGAUGGAUUGGUGCCUUCGGGAACUGUGAGACAGGUGCUGCAUGGCUGUCGUCAGCUCGUGUUGUGAAAUGUUGGGUUAAGUCCCGCAACGAGCGCAACCCUUAUCCUUUGUUGCCAGCGGUCCGGCCGGGAACUCAAAGGAGACUGCCAGUGAUAAACUGGAGGAAGGUGGGGAUGACGUCAAGUCAUCAUGGCCCUUACGACCAGGGCUACACACGUGCUACAAUGGCAUAUACAAAGAGAAGCGACCUCGCGAGAGCAAGCGGACCUCAUAAAGUAUGUCGUAGUCCGGAUUGGAGUCUGCAACUCGACUCCAUGAAGUCGGAAUCGCUAGUAAUCGUAGAUCAGAAUGCUACGGUGAAUACGUUCCCGGGCCUUGUACACACCGCCCGUCACACCAUGGGAGUGGGUUGCAAAAGAAGUAGGUAGCUUAACCUUCGGGAGGGCGCUUACCACUUUGUGAUUCAUGACUGGGGUGAAGUCGUAACAAGGUAACCGUAGGGGAACCUGCGGUUG